GUGACUUCCAUCCUCCCGAAAGAUGAGCAUGUGCUCAAGUUCUUUCUCCUCAUCACAAAGUGGACUGUCAACAAUCCAGCGGAAAAAGGUUGAGGAAAUUUGUCAUACACCUCAACCGCACAAGAAACACAAGAAUGAGCCAGUGCACCAUGUCAGCAUCAUUCCGUGGUUGAAUCCAUCCAUGGCACAUCUCUGCAUCAGAGCUUCCUCCAUUUUGCUUCCUUUCGGUAGGUGAUUGAUUCCUUUCGUCUGUAUAACCCGUGUCACAUCAGUCCGAUACAGGAGGCAGAUGCUUGGACUCUUCAGCUACAAGCUGGCCAUGAAAG
rnacentral:lncRNA from 1 species